rnacentral:rRNA from 1 species
UACAGAGGGGGCAAGCGUUAUUCGGAAUUAUUGGGCGUAAAGGGCGCGUAGGCGGCCUGACAAGUGGAAGGUGAAAUCCCUCGGCUCAACUGAGGAACUGCCCUCCAAACUGUUUGGCUUGAGACCGGGAGAGGUGAGUGGAAUUCCCAGUGUAGCGGUGAAAUGCGUAGAGAUGGGGGAGAACACUCGUGGCGAAGGCGGCCAGCUAGACCAGUUCUGACACUGAGGCGCGACAGCGUGGGGAGCAAACAGG